GCGCGAGGGCGGAGAGCAUGGUGUCGGCGCGCGAGGGCGGGGUGCUCGGCGGCGGAGAGUGACCCGUGCUCUGAGUUUUCGUUGUAUUCGGCCAUGGCUGCCGGCACGGAGAAGGCACGCCGGCCUGGUCCGUCGCUGCCCGUCCGCGUCGAGCCAUGGAGCACCGCGUGUUGGCCAUGCGCAACGGCGGCGGCGAGGAGGCCGACCAGCUCCACCCGCCUAGGUCGCCAUUCAUCCGAGUUAUACAGUUGUUGCUCGCAUCGUGGAGGUGCGGCAGGCCAACGGCGAUGCGCGGGCAUGCCGACCUGCGAGGACGUGGGCUUCACGCAACUCGCCGCCGCGGAGAGGUCGCCCAUGCGCCCAUGCCCACGCCGCCCACCGGAGCUGCCGGUUUUCCUGCUGGUCCUGGUCGUGGCCGGGCAAGUCACGCCCAGGCAGGUUGUUGUUGCUGCUGGUUCUGGUCGUGCCCAUGUGCAGCAUCGAGUAUGCGGUCAACUGCAGGUUUGCUGCACUACUGUCUUGUUCUCAUGUAGAAAGUACUGCAUGAUUUUCCAAGACUGCAAAGUUCAAGUCCAAUGUCAGUAUUGUUAUUUUAACCUUGCCAAAACCGACCUGCAUUUAUCAUAUACUCCGUAUCAUAUAUGGUUAUAAAUUCAUGGGAUCUUCUUAAAUGGGAACGAACAACUCUCAUAAUACUGUUGUAGAUGCAGAGUAAGCUCCUCCAUCUCACUUCUGAAAUAAGGUAAGAAUCCCAGAAUAUACCGUUACCACUCAUCACUUUUUUUUUCUAGACACAGAGUGGACAGUGUACCUUGUGCUUCAUGAGUCAUACAUCACCUGAUAAGUACGUACUUUAUUUUUCAGCCUUGAGUUUUUCCGUUCUACCAUUUGUAAGUGCUUCCAUCAUCCGAUUUGAUGAAACAUUUUGUGGAGCUAGGAUCAUACUCCAUGAUGCAUAUAGCUAAUUAAACUACUGCCCUCAUGACUCCGGAUAAUAUGCAGCAGGAUACAUAUUAGCUUUAAGUGAUUGACUAGGCGUUUUGUAAAUUCUUCCUUAGUCCGGCCAUGCUCCAGUUCUUAGGGGAAGUUUUAGGAAUGGCUUUACAUAUGUGUGAAGCAGUGCCAACAAAGGAAUUCAAAUUAUGCCCCAUCUGCACCCAUAAUUUCUUCCAAUACUUGUACAUGGAAUAGUUAUGAUCUCAGUUUAGUGUUUGCCCACACCUUUUUGAUGUGCACAUACUAGUUUUGUAGCCUGUUAUAUUAGUCGCCCAUGUGCAAUGUCUUUUGAGGGACACCUUUUCUGAUUUCUGCAUCCGUUGAGUAAAUUAAGCUGCCUUUCGACAACAUGCUUAAGUUACUUUUAUCAUCUGACUAAAUUGAUUUUAUCAUCUAAACUAAGUUGGUUACAAGAGAUGGUACUAGUUGCAUAUUAAGUUGCUUUUUGCCAGCAUGUUAAGGUUGUCUAAUGAUCUAACUAGGUUGUUUUUUGUCAUCUGGAUAAAUUGCUUUCCAUCAUCUAACCUAAUUUUGACGUACAACCACAUGCCCCUCUUGUAUACUAAUUCUAAGUAAGUUCUGGCAUAAUGCUCCAUUGUAUUAGCUGAACUUGACUAACUCUCCUUCCUACAAAAAAAAACUAGCUGUACAACAGAUCAUGAUGCCCAUAGUCUGUUCAAUCCCUGCUCGAUUUCUUCUAAUAUUGCAUUUUCUUGUGGAGGGAAAUGAGUAGAGUGGUGCACAUCAGUACUAGAUUUACUUUGUGUUUCAUCUUCUAGCUUAGUUGGACACUGAAUUAAAAUAAGUUGGGUCAUGAACACAAUUAAGUUAUUUACUGAAUCUAACUAAGUUGGCAUCUCAAGCUAUAAUUUUACGUUUAUUUGUGUGUUAAUCUUCUAGUUUAGUAGGUUUGUCGAAUGUAACUGAGGUGGCUUCUUAUUUUUUCCCAUUCUGUACAUCUAACCAAGUUGUUUUAUUCUUGUUCUUUCGGUUUUUUCUGUACUGUUAGUCAUUAUUGUAAUUCUUACUAUUACUGUAUUGUUAUGUGCUGAGUGAGAAAUAUUGCAUUAUAUAUCGUUAUAUAGUGUUAUUUAUAAGUUAUCUUGUCACCAUAGUUAAGUUGCUUUUAGCAUAGAACUAAGUUGAGUGGCCAGAUUAGCCUAAGUUGGAUUCUGAUUUUGCAGCGCGGAAUUGUUUUUCUUUGAUUCACUGUCCUUUUCCCAAUUAAGUUGUCUUGCCAUUGUAGUUAAGUUGCUUUAAACAUAGAACUAAAUUGAUUAUACUAACAAAAGCAUACGUCAUUGUAGUUAUGGUGCUUAGUUGUUUCCUCUCCUGAUGUAAGUUGCUUUUUAAAUAGCAACUAAGUUACAUACUGGCAUGACCUGAGUUGAUUCUUCCAAAUAACUUCAAAUUUUUGUUCAAAUUAAGUUUCUUAAACUCUCUUUUUACUAAGUUGGUAUCUGAACCAACCUAACUUGCAUACAAUCUUCAGAAAAUUCUAGCUAUAUUUGUGCAAUAUAGCUAGGUUUUCUUUCUCCAUUAAGCAACAUAAAUAAGUUACUCGUUUUAAGUAAGUUGAAUUUGAAUUCAAAGAGUUGGAUGGUGAAAGUAAUUAAUUUUUUUUCAUCUAGUGGUCCCAUCUUUAAUCGGAUUUAUAGUCCCAACGUUUUUUGCUACCUCGAAGUUGCUUAACCUCAUUUUACUAACUUGGUCUCUAAACCAACCUGACUCGCAUAACAGCUUCCAAGAUUUUGUAGUUAUGUUUUUACAGUCAAGCUAGAAUUCUUGUUAUGUUUUAACAGUUUUUUGGUUUAAGUAAGUUGACACGCCUUCAUACUAAAGUUGUACAAAGAAAGUAAUUAAGUUGAUUGCAUUUGGUAGUCCCAUAUUUUUUGGGUAUCGUAAACUUGGUUCACCGAAAUUUACUAAGUUGGUGUCUAAACCACAAUAACUUGCAAAUUAGCUUGAAAAAAAUAUAGAUAGGCUUUUACAAUGUUCCUUGGCUUCUUAUUUUUUCCCAUUAAGCAACAUAAAUAAGUUUGAUUACUGGUUUAACUAAGUUGGAUUUGUCUUCAUAUUAAAGUUGGAUAGUCAAAGUAGUUAAGUUGAUUUUCCUUGCUAAUUACAACAACAUUGGGGGUGUUUGUUUGGGCUUAUUUUGGCUUUCCACGAAAAUAAGCCACGCGAUUGAAACAAACAGCCCAGCUUCGUCGCUGGCUUUCGAAAAGCCAAAGCAAAGAAUACACUGCGCGACCGAAGCACCUCAGGACGUGCUUCCCGCAGCUUCCCGCAGCUUCAACACUUAACUCUGAACCGGUACGUUGCUUUGCCACUGUUAUUUCUCAUAUUUACGGCAAACUGCCAUCCCUUGUCCCCGGUCGCUUCCCGCACCACGUUUCGCGCGAGCGAGAAAAACAAAGUCCCCUAGCACUGCCGUCUGUCCAUUUUAAAAAAUGAGCACUGCUGUCUUCACUCGAAUCAAUGCUACCAAAGCUGGUUGGAAUUAUUAGCCUGCGCGUGUGUCCUGAGUCCCAUUCAAUAGAAGUCAAUGCUACUGAGCUUUAAUUUUAUGGAUGCAAUCGGAUAUACUCCAUCUUAUUUUAUAAUUAAAGAAACGCUUAUACACUUAAAUCACAAAAUAAAUACGGAGUACAUGUUCUCGAAACACGGGGGUAUUUCAGACAAUUCAUCUUUUACAGCCAGACAGCCAGCCAAUUUGCCAAACAGUGAAAUUUGAAACAGCAGCUUUCGGUGCACAGCAGCUUUCCCUACACAGCAGCUUUCCCUCCACAGCCAGCCAGCCACAGCCCAAACAAACAGGCCCUAAGCAGUACCAGCUUUUUGGUUCCGCAAAGUUGGUUAACCACGUUUUACUAAGUUAGUGUCUAAACCACAAUAGCUGGGUUAAGUAAGUUGGAUUUGUCUUCAUACUGAAGUUGGAGUCAAAGUAAUUAAGUUGUUUUUUCUUGCUAUUUACUUCAACAUUACGCAGUCCCAGCUUUUUUGUUCCGCAAAAUUGGUUAACCAGGUUUUACUAAGUUGGUGUGUAAACCACAAUAGCUUGCAAACUAGCUUCAUAAAACUAACUUAUCUACUUAAGGGUGAGGCUGUUUUUUUACUUCGAUGACAAUGCUCUUGGGAUUUAUACAUAACCUAGGUCGUAUCAUGUUUUGUUAUCUACAUACAAUUAAGGUACUGAGGUGUUUUUCGUCUCCAAUGUUUUGUUCUUGAAAGGACAUGGGUAUGACCUAAGUAUGUAAGCAACUAAUUAUGCUUUUUUUGGUCUACCAUGCAUCUAUGUUGUUUCAAGAUUUGUUGCUUUGUUUCUGUGAAAUAUGCAUCAUGAUUGAAUACAACCUAGGUUAGUUUUUGGAUGUUUAUGUUAAGUGCAUAAUCAGUUCGCAAUUUGGCCUGCAAAGUCCAACUAAGAUGAUGCAGGUUGUUCUUGUUACUAGUUACAUGCAUAGGUACCUUCAAAGUUGACUCGUGCUUGUUUUCCGUAAGUUGUAUCACCUGCAAUUCCUUGUUGAUGUAAGGGUUUUCACCUUGUUCUUCCUGUCAAUGUCUUGUAAUUCCUUUCUUUUACUGCAGAUGACCAUGCUUGGGAUAAGUUUGCCGGACAAGCAGUUAUUAGCUAAAAGAAGGUGUUGGUUCCACCAUAAGAGACAGUCUUUUUGUUGGGAUGGCGAGGACUGAAGAGUUCGUAUCUUCGAUGUUGCCUCAGCUUUUUCAAUGAGACCCGAGGAGCAACUCACGUGCCCGCAGGAGCAACUCCAAUAUACUCAACGAAAUCAAUGUAUUAUGUGCAACAGAAAAAACUGAGUUUCCUUGAACAUGGAGAUUUUUUUGUAAAUUUUGCAUUUAACUGCCGGAGGGGCUCCAUGAAUAUCCAUGGAGAUCUGGAGGAGGAUGACGAGCUGGAGUAGUUCGUCUUGCACAAGUAGCUAGGAGAGAGAGAGGGGGUGACGUGGUGGUUAUAUGUUGGGGCGCUGGAUUUGGUAGGCCAUGUGCCGUCUGCUAAUUUUUCCCUGAUACAUACCUUUUCCAGAUCGAGUGCUGGGACAGACCAAUUAGUACUCGGAUGCCAGGUCAAACAAACCAGCAUCCGGAUGCCAGGUCAAACAAACCAGCACCGGAUGCUACCUA